UUUAGAUGCAUGCAAUCAAGAUGAUGGGAUGAGCGCAGUGAGACCAGUCAUAGCAAAAAGGAUACAAAAGUAUAGUGAAGGCGAAAUUCGAUUUAACUUAAUGGCCAUUGUAUCUGACAGAAAAAUGAUAUAUGAACAGAAGAUAGCAGAGUUACAAAGACAGCUUGCUGAGGAACCCAUGGAUACAGACCAGAGUAAUAAUAUGUUAAGUGCUAUUCAGUCAGAGGUUGCCAAAAACGGGAUGCUUAUUGAAGAAGUACAGAAACUAAAAAGAUACAAGAUUGAAAAUAUCAGAAGGAAGCAUAAUUACCAGCCUUUCAUUAUGGAAUUAUUAAAGACUUUAGCAGAACACCAACAGUUAAUACCACUAGUAGAAAAGGCAAAAGAAAAACAGAAUGCAAAGAAAGCACAGGAAACCAAAUGAAGAAGAUGCGUUGGGAUGUAUACAUAUUUCUGCUUCUGCACUUAUUUUCAUGGAAACCAUUAAGUAUAAAGAACUUUGAGCAACAUCCUAAUUGACUCAGUGCAUGUUUGGCAAUAGUACCAGUCUGUCUUGUCUUUAAUGCAUGGAUUCUUUCCCAACCUGCAUCAUGUGCAUGUAGUGCAUAUUAAAUAAAAGUGAUAU